AUUAUAUAUUUACUUAUUGUAUAUUUUUAUAUUAUUUAUAAUAAAAGUAAUUUUAAUGAUAGAAGAAUUUUUGUAUAGUUUAUUGAUAAAAUAAGUUAAGUUAUAGUGAAUUAGUAUUGUAAAAGAACAUUGAAAUAUUUUUAAAAUAAAAUUGUUUAAAAGUUGUAUUAAAUUUAUGUACCUUUUGUAUCAGGGUUUAUUAAAUAAAUAUUAUUUAAAUAUAUAUAUUUCUCGAAUUUAAAAGAUUUAAUAGAUUAUUAAAGUUAACGUUUUAUAGUUAUUUUAAAUAAUUUAUUAGUAAUGAGAUGUUAUUCGUUUUUAAAUAUAUCUAGUUUUUUAAGAAAUAAAUUUAAUUUAUAUAUAUAUUAUGUAUAUACAUAUUUAAUUUAAAAUAGUAUGUUUGUAUAUAUAAAUAUUUUAAGGGGUAAGCUUUAAUUUAUUAUCUAUAAUAAGUUAUAUAUGAGAUUUAAUUGUAAAUUUAGAAAUAGUUAUCAAUAAGGAAUUUGUUUUAAUUUAUUAAUUUUAUGUUAAAUUUAUUAGUUAUUUAGAUUUUAUAUUAAAAUAAUUAUUUUAAUAAAAUUAAAUUAUAAAAUAAUGAUAAAAUUAGUAUUAAAUAUUUUAUGAAGUAAAUUAAUUAGAAGAUUAAUUUAAGGAAUUCGGCAAAUAAAUACUCACCUGUUUAACAAAAACAUGUCUUUUUGAUAAUAAUUUAAAGUCUGACCUGCCACUGAAUAUAAUUUGAAGGGCCGCGGUAUUUUGACUGUGCAAAGGUAGCAUAAUCAUUAGUCUUUUAAUUGGAGGCUUGUAUGAAUGGUUGGAUGAGGUAUUAACUGUCUCAGAUUAAUAAAUUAAAGAAUUUAAUUUUUAAGUUAAAAAGCUUAGAUUAUAUUAAAAGACGAGAAGACCCUAUAGAUCUUUAUAUUAAAAUAUAUAUUUAUAUUUAUGAUAAUUUUGUUUCUUAUAAAUUUUAUUAUUUUAUUGGGGUGAUAGAAAAAUUUAGUGAACUUUUUUUAUAUUAAACAUAUAUUUAUGGUUAAUUGAUCCAUUAUUAAUGAUUAUAAGAUUAAGUUACCUUAGGGAUAACAGCGUAAUUUUUUUGGAGAGUUCUUAUCUAUAAAAAAGAUUGCGACCUCGAUGUUGAAUUAAAGGUUAAUUUUAGGUGUAGAAGUUUAAAAUUUUGGUCUGUUCGACCAUUAAAUCUUUACAUGAUUUGAGUUCAAACCGGCGUAAGCCAGGUUGGUUUCUAUCUUUAAUAAAAUAUGAUAUUUUAGUACGAAAGGACCAAAUAUCUAGUAAAUUAUUUAAAAUAAUGAAUAAUAUUAAU
rnacentral:rRNA from 1 species